CUUGAAUUCAACAUCAGCAUCCCCAGGGAAAUCCGUAAGAGGAGAAAAUCGCUCAGAAGGAAGUUUGACUCCUUCUCCAAAGAAAAGAAAGAGAAAGAGCGAGGUAAGGUCGCCCCCUCCCCCAUAAACUAGAUGAUGAAGUGUCGAAAUCUUCC
rnacentral:lncRNA from 13 species